UCUUCUCAACCUCAGGGCCAAUAAUAACGUAGGUGUGUUAGCUUGAUUGCAUUGAAACGCGACGCUGUAAAAUCUGAUGCUCCAGUUCCGAAAGAGAACUUAAUCUGAGUUGAUAUCUUUUAAACAAGAAUGUAAACUGUAAUUUUAAUUUGGUUCACACAAAUCUUCUCAUCUCAUUAUGUAUCAAUAAUAAAUAAUCCAAGUUCAUUAAUGAGCUAUCCAGACAAGAAUCGAAAAAAUAUAGACCAAACAUUCUAGGAACGCCGACUAAUCAUCGUUCCAAAAUUGAUUCAUUUACUGCUACUGUAUACAAACCGGCAUCGCUGUUUUAAUUGUUUACCUUUCCCCGAUAUAAACAUAGGAUUGUAUACAUUAACGAUCUCAAUUUGUAUAUAUAUCGUACGCUACUUCGUCUCAUCACUUUGCAUAAUUGCACUUUUAUCUUCUAUAAAGUGAACAACUUUGAAGUGCAAUGAAAAAGCCAAGAUUUGCUUACAUUUUUCGGGCACAAGUUCGUGAUUUUUCAACAGAUGUAUGUAACAUUCACCAAAAGCCUUUCGAACUUAUCAGGGAUACUUCCAUCCAAAUAAACUCUCUUUACUUUAAGAGUAAACUAUGGGAUUAUAAACAAAAGUUGUUGAUGCUAACUCUAAAAGGGAGAACAGACUGGACGGUGGAAUUGUUCACUUUUUUAAAGUUCUUCUCCAGCACUUGGUAUGCUCACGUUUUUGUCUGGAGUUAGCACUUUUUGCUGGCCUGAUAUUUUAAUUUGUGAGGGUAGCUCACGUGUUGCAUGGAUUUCCGUUGAAAUCAUGUUUUCGUUGGCACGUUUUGGGUCAAACAAUGUGACAGUUUGCAUGGAUUAUCUAAUGUGAAUAUGCUUUAUGGGAAAAGUCACAAGCACUUUCAGUUUUGGUGGAGACCAGACUAAUUGGUUUUUUAGUUUUUGGAUAGAAGGAAACGAAUGGAAAAGCUACUGACUUUAUAAAUUGAGGUAUGUCAGUUAUUUUCGGAUUACACUUUUUCUCUGUCGCAUUUGAUGUUCAGUUCACAGCACCCAAAAUGUCGAUACCGCAAUUUGAUCCGGAAUUUUUUACAGCGUUGUGCAUAGUAAAGGUGUUCCUUAUUAGCAAAUGAUGUCACUGUCAGCAAAUGAUGUCACGCAUGGAGGAAGGGAUGUGGACAACACGAAGUGUGGCAUCACAUAUUUCGAUCAAAAUCUUAAUUUUUCUAUUGAAAUAAAUAAAUAUUUUAUUCAGUAUUAUUAUUAUGUUCGCAAAUGUCCUCAAAGCACAUAGUCAAUGUUUAAAAGGAGAAAGAAAUUGU